rnacentral:rRNA from 1 species
UACAGAGACUGCAAGCGUUAUUCGGAUUCACUGGGCGUAAAGGGUGCGCAGGCGGCCAAGUGUGUUAGGCGUGAAAGCCCGGAGCUUAACUCCGGAAUUGCACCUAAAACUACAUGGCUAGAGCAUUGGAGAGGGUAGCGGAAUUCACGGUGUAGCAGUGAAAUGCGUAGAUAUCGUGAGGAACACCAGAGGCGAAGGCGGCUACCUGGACAAUUGCUGACGCUCAGGCACGAAAGCGUGGGGAGCAAAAGGG